rnacentral:lncRNA from 1 species
UAACAACUGUAUGUAAAUAUUUGGACCUCUUGAGACACUAUUCAAUUAACAAACAUUUGUAAGAGUUGAAAUGUGAGACUGGAUCAUCUAAUGGUGCUGACUGUUUUACACUAGAGGCGCUAUUGAAUUGUACCAGACAAAGAACUCAGGUGCAUUCAGCAGGGCACAAGAUUGUGGAUAUUUCAGAUAGAAAUAGAUUAUGUAGAACAUACAUACCUCUCUGACAUGUAGAACAAAUUAAUCAUGUCAGCUCUAUUCAUGACAUUUCUAUCUGAACCAUUCAAUGUUUGCCUACUGAACAUGGCCCUGAACAGAUAUUCUAUUGGUCUGAUACCGGAUGCUGUUCAUGAUGAUGAUGAUGAUGAUGAUUACAGGGCAUUAAUAAGCAUAGAAAUCUAAUAAUUAUAUUUCUAUGGCAUUAGACAGAUUGAAGAGAACAGAACAAUAAUAGAUAAUGAACAACACCAAGCAAUAUGUACACUAACUCAAUCAUUCCCCUGACUGCACCGUGGAGUAAACUAAAACUACAGCCCCUUUCUUUCAGGGUUUGACCGCACUUGUUUUUGUUGAUUAACUUUUGUGUAUAUUUGGUAUUGCAGUCUUUAUACUGUAUUAAAAUGCAAUACUACGUACUAGGAUACCAUUGAGAACAAAAACUCAGGUCAAAUCUCAAAUGGCACCCUAAUCCCCACAGCUCUGGGUCAAAAGUAGUGCACUUCAUAGGAAAUAGUGUGCCAUUCGAGACGAAGCCUCAGUCACCGACCAUUUGCAUUACCAUCUACAAGUGUCAAGAUCCUAGAUCAGAUUACUAAAGCAUGGUUGUAAUAUAAUAGUAUGUAUGGGUUGUACUUGUAUUUUUGUCCAAAUGCAGAUGUUAGUCAGAGCAUGAGGCUCAGAUCAAAGGGACUUAAUCACCCAUAGAAACAGAAUCUAUAGAAUAAAGGAAAUCUACCACUCACGAGUAGCAGACUAGUUAGUUUAAGAACAAACUAGUUGUCUGGCAACUAGUUACUUUCCUGUCAGCUAAGGUUGUGUCCCAAUUCUAAAUCAUUAUCAACUAAAUGCGCACUUGUUCACUUCCCUUCUUGGAUUGAAAAGGAAAGGACUGCUGUAAGAAAUAUGGUGGAAUCACCCUCUCCCAAUCCAAAUACACUGCUCAAAAAAAGAAAUGGAACACUAAAAUAACACAUGGAGGUCUGGAUUUGGAGUCACACUCAAAAUUAAAGUGGAAAACCACACUACAG